ACUCCUACGGGGAGGCAGCAGUGGGGGAAUAUUGCACAAUGGGCGCAAGCCUGAUGCAGCAACGCCGCGUGAGCGAUGAAGGCCUGGUCGUAAAGCUCUGUCCUCAAGGAAGAAUAAAUGACGGUACUUGUAGGAGGAAGCCCGGGCCUAACCUAACGUGCCAGCAGCCGCGGUAAUACGUAGGGGGGCAAGGCGUUAUCCGGAAUCACUGGGCGUAAAGGGGUGCGUAGGCGGUUUUUCAAGUCAGAAGUGAAAGGCUAUGGCUCAACCAUAGUAAGCUUUUGAAACUGUUAAACUUGAGUGCAGGAGAGGAAAGUGGAAUUCCUAGUGUAGAGGUGGAAAUUCGUAGAUAUUAGGAGGAACACCAGUGGCGAAGGCGACUUUCUGGACUGUAACUGACGCUGAGGCACGAAAGCGUGGGGAGCGAACAGGAUUAGAUACCCUGGUAGCACGAGA
rnacentral:rRNA from 1 species